AUGAAAGAAGAGGAGAUUCAGCAAAGUGAGGAAGGAGUGAAAAGAAGGAAGGCUCUCAAGGAGAGCAUGGGCUGUCAGGAGGGGAAGGAAAUUCAUGCUCCCAAGUUCUGCUUCUGCUCCCGAUCUUGCUUGAGUCAAGAACCUCAGAAACCUUCUGGAGAUUUGAAUAUGGGGACCAUGGCCUGGUUGGAAUCUGGAGGGAAAUGGCACAAACCAGUCCAAGAAUUAGGAAAGGUCCACAAAGGACACCGACAACAAAUACACACACAACAGAAGAUGAGCCCAGCCCUGAAGCCCGUGGUGGUGAGGGGGUGCCUGCGAGCUGAGAAGGGGAGUCAGGUAAGAGCAUCAUCUCCCAGGGGUGUGGAGCUGGGUCUGGGACAUGCAAGGGAGGAGCCCAAGAGGAAAGGGCAGGACACGAAGGCGGGCAGGCUUUACUGAAUGGUGCAUUUCCUCCUUAUGGAGAGACCCAAAAGGACAGAAGAGGAAGAUGAGAGAAAGAAAAGAAACCCAAUCCUUUCCAGAGGAGAAGAGGGCAGCUUGGGGGUCAGAGGGCACCUCCAGACCACCACCCCCCAGACCCCCUAAAACUUCACACUCCACACCUGCCUCUCCUGGGCUAAAGGCCAGUUCUCAUUUCAGAAGUAGAAUUGGACAUAUUUUGUGUUUCGUCUGAGGAAUCUGCAGGCAUGCAUUUCUUCUGGAUGGCUCUUCUCUGGGCCCUCUUUUCCUAUUUGAAAUUUCCUUUCUCACCACCUCUUGCCUGUGGGUUUGGGCUGCUCCAUGCACUGUACCCCAAAGACACUGGAACCUAAGACUGACUUUAAAAACAUGCUUUUUUAUUUUUAACUGACUGCAAAAUACACACAGGCACAGAGCCAGGAAGAAACAAAGAAGUGCACAGAAUUCCUCCACCAGAGAUAAGGACGACUAACAUGACAAUCUACAUACUUAGUGGUUUUCCUUGGCAUAUACGUAUGUCAUCUUUUCAAAAUAUGAUGUGUAAAGGAACUUCCCCCUCCCCCUCCUUUACUCAUUUGCUCCAAAUAAAACGCGUGUGGAAGAUUCAUGAACUUACUGGAGAGAGAACCUGACUGCUGUAGAGAACGUUCUCUGUGAUAAGCAUGAAGGAAGGGACCACCUUAUCAGACAUUUCAGAGAUUUCCUUUUAUCAUGUGACUUGUCAGAUAUGACUUGUCAGAUGGCCGUCGCUUCCUAUGCAUCUGGGAGGUUUUUGUGAAGGGAUUCUUUCUUGUCUUGAACAACCAUAGAAGGAAAAUCAGAUCCGCGGGAAGAGUCCUGGAGGCUGAAGGAUCUGGGGAGAACAUGCGGACAGAAGCAGAAUAAGGUGACUGAGGACAGGGGUUCCCGCUCGGUGGGUAGCAGGCACGUUUCCAGACGGGCUCACAGGGCCUGCACCGGCCCCGCUCAGGACCCAGCGUGGCCUUGUGGCCCAGACACAACACUGCUUCUGGCAACUUCUUUGGUGCCCCUGACCCCGCCUCCUGGGUGCUGGAGGUGUUUAAGUCCAGGUUUACCGCUGCUGCCCUGUGGGCGGAUGGGGGCGUCCCAGUACAGUGGCUGCCGAGCACGGCUGCCCUCCAGGGCACCCAUGUCCUGCCCUGCUUGGCUCAAAGGCUCCGGCCAACAGGAGUUCCCCUCCACUUGGCAGAGGAGCUCUAGGUCCAACUUGGUCAUCUUAAGUCUGAGAAUUUGGAGGUGGGAUUAAGAAGUCCUGGAACUUCAGUUGGCUCAUCUAAUUCCAUGAGAUUUCUUUAAAAAGACUAAUAAAUAUAUUAUCUCGACAAAACGAACAUAAUUUUUCUUCGGACCCUUUGUUGAUCCUUUGUCCUCUUUAAGGAGACUUCAGAGCAGUGCUUCUCCAAAUGUGGCCCAGACGAGCAGGAUCAACUUGUCAGAAGAGCACGUCAUGGCUCCCGCAGACCUGCUGAGCCUGAAAAUCAGAUGUGCUGCGUGGCCUGCAGUCUACAGCAAAUUGCUAAGAGCUUUAGAAAACAAAUGUGUGGAUGCGACUAGGAAUGACCGAAAAAAGCAAGAAGCAUUCUGACGGAGCUCCAUUCGGGACAGACUUGGGAGAAAGACCUUGUUGACCUCUCUGUCCUCAGAGGCCCAAGUGCACAGUCAGAAUGCAAUGGCCAAGGGAAUUCCCUGAGGGUGCAGUGGUUAGGACUCAGCACUUCCACUGCAGGGGCCAUGGGUUUGAUCCCUGGUUGGGGAGCUAAGAGCCUGCAAGCUGUGUGGUGCAGCCAAAAAACAAAAACCAAAAAAAUCCAGUGGCCAGAGCGAGUGGCAGCCCUGAAAUGCUCAUCUCCCUGAACUCUCGCCCCUCUCUUCCUCCCACCAAGCUCCCCGCUCUUCUCCUGUCCCUCUCCUCCUGCCCUCACAUUUGAUUUUCUUGCCCUGGAGAAUCUCCUGCAUGAUCAGCUCCCCCUCCAGGAAGUCUGCCCUGACCAUCCCUUUGCCCAGUGCCCACAGCACUCUGUCUGAAUCCUGUUCCAAGCUCUUGGACUUCUAGGAAAGGAGACCUGGGCUGGAGUCCCCCUUGUCACCCCCCCAAUGGAGCCUGCCACAGAAAGGAUGAACACAGCUGGGGUGCAGGAGCAGCAGAUAAGAAAUCCUAGCAAAGAGCGUUAGACAGG
rnacentral:lncRNA from 1 species